CACGCCCCAGUGGCCGAAUGGGUAAUGCGGGCCACCAGGUAGCGCCUUGGCGUGGGGACUCAGAGUGCGUGGGUUCGAAACCCACAGGGGACAACAUUACAUCUGAAGCCAACUUCUCAGCUUCUAAAAUAAUGGGAUGUGAACUUGCCAAGUAGGUACCUUCGGGCGGAUCUACUACCUGAUUUAGCUUAUUGUUUCUGGGCUGGAAACCUGUAUUGCAUGUACCAAUUCUGUCUUUCAUUAAUUUUCCUAUGUUCUUGUUAUUCUUGGCGCUGUUCAACACUAAGCAUUCCUCCGGUAUAACCAACUCUUGCCUGUAUUUAACAUCACACAAGGACUCGUCAUAAGCGCUGCUUGCAUACGAGUAUAACGGA
rnacentral:sRNA from 1 species